rnacentral:rRNA from 1 species
UACGUAGGGUGCAAGCGUUAAUCGGAAUUACUGGCGUAAAGCGUGCGCAGGCGGCUUUGCAAGACAGAUGUGAAAUCCCCGGGCUCAACCCUGGGAACUGCAUUUGUGACUGCAUGGCUAGAGUACGGUAGAGGGGGAUGGAAUUCCGCGUGUAGCAGUGAAAUGCGUAGAUAUGCGGAGGAACACCGAUGGCGAAGGCAAUCCCCUGGACCUGUACUGACGCUCAUGCACGAAAGCGUGGGGAGCAAACAGG